rnacentral:rRNA from 1 species
UACGUAGGUGACCAGCGUUGUCCGGAUUUACUGGGCGUAAAGAGCGCGCAGGCGGUCGAUUUAGUCGCGUGUGAAAGCCCCCGGCUCAACUGGGGAGGGUCACGCGAUACUGAUCGACUCGAAGGCAGGAGAGGGUAGUGGAAUUCCCGGUGUAGUGGUGAAAUGCGCAGAUAUCAGGAGGAACACCAAUUGCGAAGGCAGCUCGCUGGGACGUUACUGACGCUGAGACGCGAAAGCGUGGGGAGCAAACAGG